CAGCAAAGGCGGACGUAUUCCAAAUCUGUUUAAAAAACGAUCAGAACCCGCUGGAUACCCGUCAAUCCUGAUUAAUACUUGGAAUGUUGGCGCGGCAAUCCCCCCAAGUGUUGCGCCGAUAAAGGUGAUCAAGGAGUGUUCGCCUUUGUUUAACUCCUAAUGGUCUUAACCCGGAUUCCCCCCCAGAGCCCGG
rnacentral:sRNA from 1 species